rnacentral:rRNA from 1 species
UACGGAGGGUGCAAGCGUUAUCCGGAUUUACUGGGUUUAAAGGGUGCGCAGGCGGAUUGCCAAGUCCGUGGUGAAAUCUCUGAGCUUAACUCAGAAAUUGCCGUGGAUACUGGUAGUCUUGAAUGCUGUGGAGGUAAGCGGAAUAUGUCAUGUAGCGGUGAAAUGCUUAGAUAUGACAUAGAACACCUAUUGCGAAGGCAGCUUACUACGCAGAUAUUGACGCUCAUGCACGAAAGCGUGGGGAUCAAACAGGAUUAGAUACCCUGGUAGUCCACGCCCUAAACGAUGAUUACUCGACAUACGCGAUACACUGUGUGUGUCUGAGCGAAAGCAUUAAGUAAUCCACCUGGGAAGUACGACCGCAAGGUUGAA